CUUAAUUAGGCUCAAAAAAAUCCUAAUCAAAUCAAAAAUUGACUAAGUCCAACCCUUGAUCAAAUCAGGGACCAAACUAUCUCGACGAUUAGGUCAACUCUUAACCUAAUCGGGUCAAACCCAACUGAAUCCAAUUCAAUUGGACUUGAUCCAAAAAUAAUUACUCAAUCAAAUUGAGUUAAUUAGUGAUCAAAUCACUAAUUAAACCUCUCAUAAAUACUGAGUCCAAAUCUGAUGGGCAAUCGGGUAUC
rnacentral:lncRNA from 1 species